rnacentral:misc_RNA from 1 species
GAUGAAGAACGUAGCGAAAUGCGAUACGUAAUGUGAAUUGCAGAAUUCAGUGAAUCAUCGAAUCUUUGAACGCACCUUGCGCCCUUUGGCAUUCCGAAGGGCAUGCCUGUUUGAGUAUCAUGAACACCUCAACUCUUCAUGGUUUUCCAUGAUGAGCUUGGACUUUGGGGGUCUUGCUGGCCUGCGGUCGGCUCCUCUCAAAUGAAUCAGCUUACCAGUGUUUGGUGGGCAUCACAGGUGUGAUAACUAUCUGCGCUUGUGGUUUUCCACCAAGUAACCUUCAGCAGUGGAGGUUCACUGGAGCUCACAGACGUCUCUCCUCAGUGAGGACAGCCCUUUGAAUGUUUGAUCUCAAAUCAGGUAGGACUACCCGCUGAACUUAAGCAUAUCAAUAAGCGGAGGA